UGGGGUAUUCAAGCCAGGGUGGAUGUUAGUGGAUCUCUGUUCUGUUUUGCUUCGUUGAGCUUCAUUUUGCUGUGUAGCUCAGGUCAGCCAGUUCUCAUGCUUCAGCUGAGAUUGCAGUUGUGUGCCACCACCCUCAGAGCUGAUGGCUUCUGAUGUGGGCUGAGCAGUUAUGUGGAGGAAGAAAUGGAGGCAGGAGGCCAGGGAGGACAAGCUGCAGAAAGAUCCCUUCAAACCAAAAAGCAUCUCAUCAUUUAGCCGCAUCUACCAUUAAGCUCCCGAAUACAUGCCUUCAUCCCUUUGACAAAAGGAAAUGUCUUUGCCCAAGGUCAUUGAGGAGCAAGCACUGUAACACAGGUAGGUCUUUGGAUUCUUUGUCCCACCUCUUCCCUUGUAUCCAUAACCAGCCCGAGCACCUGCAGAGUCCUGGUCAUCUUGGGAUGGGCUUUGCAAAGUACACAGACCCGUCAGAAGCCUUCUCUGUUUGACAAGCUGAGGCCUGUCCAAGAAGACACCAUUGUGUACCGUAGACAGUGUGCAAUUGCGAUGGAUGUUACGGACACGGCUGCUGUAGUAGCCACAGGUUCCUGAGCUAUGGGGUCUUCCUCCCUCAUCCCCCACUUCUCCCAGUACCCAGGCUCCUAAUUUGGCCACAAAAGCCAAGUUCAGCUCCAAGCACAGACCUUUGAAGACACAGUUCCUCCUAAAACCUCGGAGAAGCCAAUUAUAGUGGCGGGAGCGGUAAUCACUGUAA
rnacentral:lncRNA from 1 species